rnacentral:rRNA from 1 species
CGGCCUUAAUCGAUUCUAUUUCUGAUUUGAUCUGAAGAGGUAGAGAGACUGUGGCUGGCCGUCGAUACAAGACUGCAUGUGCACGUCCCCUCACCUUUUCUAAUUCUAAUUCUAAUUCUAUCUACACACACCUGUGCAUCUAUUGUAGAUCCCCCUUUGAAAGAGGGAGGGAACUAUGCUUUUUUAUCACAUCACACAUAAUGUAUGUCCAGAAUGUAAUGUAAUUUCAUCGAUCAUUGAUUUGAUCAACGAUGAAAACAAAUGAAAUGUAAUACAACUUUCAGCAACGGAUCUCUUGGCUCUCGCAUCGAUGAAGAACGCAGCGAAUUGCGAUAAGUAAUGUGAAUUGCAGAUUUCCAGUGAAUCAUCGAAUCUUUGAACGCACCUUGCGCUCCUUGGUAUUCCGAGGAGCAUGCCUGUUUGAGUGUCAUUUAAUUCUCAACCAUUCUACUGUUCUUCUUUCUUGGAUUGAUCUUGAUCUAUGAGAGGAGAGGGGGAAGUAUGGCUUGGAGUUGGGGGUUGCUGGCAGGAACUGUCAGCUCUCCUUAAAUGCAUUAGCAAUCGAGUUGGCUAGUCUUUGACGUGCACGGCUUCAGACGUGAUAAUGAUCGUCUUAGCUGGAGUGUCUUUUCUAGACUAUGGUACAUAGUAGAUUGCUUCUAAUCAGAAUGGAAGAAAAAAAAGAUAAGAGUCUAGAGUCUAUCAAGCUUAGCUACUAGUCAGUUGAAUUAUUUAUUUGACUGGCGAACACAAGCGAAAGAGAGAUGCUUGACCUUUCUUUUCUUUUCUUCUCUAUGAUCAGAGACUUGACCUCAAAUCAGGUAGGACUACCCGCUGAACUUAAGCAUAUCAAAAA